ensembl:rRNA 5S_rRNA 5S ribosomal RNA
GCUUACGGCCACACACCCCUGAGCGCGCCCGAUCUCGUCUGAUCUCGGAAGCUAAGCAGGGUCGGGCCUGGUUAGUACUUGGAUGGGAGACCGCCUGGGAAUACCAGGUGCCGUAAGCU